CGGGUGGUAAUGCCGGAUGCUCCGGUUGGAUGCAUGUCCUUCCGGGAAAGGUUCCAUCGGUAUGGGAUGGGGUCGCGUCCUAUCAGCUUGAUGGCGGGGUAACGGCCCACCAUGGCUUCGACGGGUAGCCGGCCUGAGAGGGCGACCGGCCACAUUGGGACUGAGAUACGGCCCAGACUCCUACGGGAGGCAGCAGUGGGGAAUAUUGCACAAUGGGCGCAAGCCUGAUGCAGCGACGCCGCGUGCGGGAUGGAGGCCUUCGGGUUGUAAACCGCUUUUGAUCGGGAGCAAGCCCUUCGGGGUGAGUGUACCUUUCGAAUAAGCACCGGCUAACUACGUGCCAGCAGCCGCGGUAAUACGUAGGGUGCAAGCGUUAUCCGGAAUUAUUGGGCGUAAAGGGCUCGUAGGCGGUUCGUCGCGUCCGGUGUGAAAGCCCAUCGCUUAACGGUGGGUCUGCGCCGGGUACGGGCGGGCUGGAGUGCGGUAGGGGA
rnacentral:rRNA from 1 species